rnacentral:lncRNA from 1 species
AGGGAUGCAUGAAUAUGAUUCAAUUAUUUUUAUAUAGGCUUUGGAUUGAUUGGAUGCAGCCCUAUUGUAUAAUAGAGCUUGUUCCAAUUGAUCUCAGGGAUACAAAACCAAAUUAAUGGAAUUAGUUUGAUAUAGGCUUUGAUUGGAUCAAACCUUAUUGGAUAAUAGGCUUGAUUAGAUCAAGCCAUAUUAUCAAAUAGUUUUUCUGAAUCCAUCAAG